UACAGAGGGUGCAAGCGUUAAUCGGAAUUACUGGGCGUAAAGCGUGCGUAGACGGUUAUUUAAGUCAGGCGUGAAAGCCCCGGGCUCAACCUGGGAAUUGCAUUUGAGACUGAAUAGCUAGGGUGCGGAAGAGGGAAGCGGAAUUUCCGGUGUAGCGGUGAAAUGCGUAGAUAUCGAGAGGAACACCAGUGGCGAAGGCGAGUCCCUGGACAACUCCUGACACUGAGGCGCGAAAGCUAGGGGAGCAAACAGG
rnacentral:rRNA from 1 species